rnacentral:rRNA from 1 species
GAUGAACGCUAGCAGAACGCCUAACACAUGCAAGUCAAACGGCCAGCAAUGGCAGUGGCAAACGAGCGAGUAACGCGUACUUAACCUGCCCAGAAGUUGUGAACAACCAUAGAGAUAUGGCUAAUCCACGAUAAUCCCUAAUGAAUGAAAAUAUUUAGGGCAAAGAUUUAUCGCUUUUGGAGGGGGUGGCGUCCUAUCAGGUAGUUGGUGAGGUAAUAGCUCACCAAGCCUAUGACGGGUAGCCGGUCUGAGAGGAUGUCCGGCCGCGAUGGAACUGAGACACGGUCCAUACUCCUACGGGAGGUAGCAGUGGGGAAUAUUGGACAAUGGCGAAAGUACUGAUCCAGCGAUUCUUGCGUGGAGGA